UUCCAUGAUGACAACCUAUGAAAACACAAUUAUUUCUGGUACCUCUUAUGUCAGGCGCGAUACGAAUUGACGAUAACUCGACUCCUUUUGCUCCGAUGAUCUAAAUGGACUUCUGACU
rnacentral:snoRNA from 1 species